GCUAGACAUGAGCUAACGCAGCAACAUCCAUCAUAGACGGGUCGGAAGAAUAUCUCACGAUAUUUUCCGGGUCUUUGGCUACUACCGGUCAGACGGAAAACGAUGUAAAUGUUCCAUGUUUGCUAUGCUAAGGACGCGUGACAAACGAAUGGGCCGUGUAUCCGGGUUCGUCUCGUUCUGCUGAUCAACUUUCAUGUUGAAAAUAUUUUGAUAUGACUUACGGAUUAUUUUAUAUUAAUUUUGAAAGUUUUAUUAACUAUUUAUGAAUUAAAAACAGAUUUAUUUAAUUAAAUUAAAUGCUAUUAUGACAUCAGCAUGAUGUCAUGCUGACACCAGUAGUUGACUGGUUAACUGACCAGUGGGUCCCGUAUGUCAUAGACACAAGUUUUUAAUUAAGAUUAAAUAGAAAUUAAUC
rnacentral:lncRNA from 1 species